rnacentral:lncRNA from 1 species
AUGGAUACCAGUGGUUUUAUGGUCUAGCAAGUGGAAACACAGGACACCCAGUUCCAUUUGAGCGUCAGAUCAACAGUGUAAGUCAACCCCUGGCCGUGCUUGGGAGACACUGAUCCUAAGGGUCAUUCUUUUCUUUUCUGGAUUCUCACAUACCAGGGUCCCUGGUGUUUGACCCAUCAAACGAUGGCCUCAUUAUUCUUGAAGGAAACCCCUUGAAUGGAAGCAUCCUCUCCCCUGUGAUGUGCAGAGUCCCCAGAUGUCAGGAACUCAGAGAUCAUUUCUCCUAGACUGUGAAUGUUAGGUACCCAAUACAGAUGUCAGCAGUGUCUGUGAUGUUGAUAACAAUUAAUAACACUUGACACGGAUGUUAGUGCUCAUUCGCAGAGCGUCCGCUGUGCUCCAGACACACCCUUUGCUCAACUCUGUCACGUCUUCACUCAGGGACCCUGCGCAUGGUGGCUGCAUCCUGUCAUCAUGAACCAGGUUGUUCACAGGGCUCAUUCGAGAUAGAUGCUACAGAGUGUGUGUCCCCCAACUGCCAUGGUGGGGCGCUGUGCUGAGUGGCUUGUGAGGGUCACCUCAUAAAGUGUCGACUGUUCUGUACACGGAAGUUAUUCCUAGGUCAUCGGGAGGUCUCUACUUUGAAAGUGGGGAAACUGAGUCUCAAGCUCGGGGACAUCAAUAGUCAGGAAGCUCAGAUCCACAGAGAGAAGCUGGCUUCUGCCCGAGUUCCAUACUCCUCUAGGCUUCUCCAUCGGCCACAUGGAGGACUGCACUAGGAGGUCUGUGUCCCUCGUUGACCCCGAAGCCACCUCCUUGUUCCUUGUGGUACCCAACAGGGCACAAGGAUAGCUUCCCCAGGGAAGGUUACAGAUGUGUGUCUCUCAGCCAAGGACAGAGCCCAGGACAACAGACAGACAAACAGAUGGAUGGACGGGAGGCUCCUGCUCCUUGUUACAGUCAAGUGCAUCAUCUCUGUCUGAGCCUGCCACCUUCAGUAUUUGGUAGCCACCCUUCAGAUGAUGGAAAUUCCAUUCUGACCUCUUUCCAGGCACGUUCAGAAUCUCUGGGGUUGAGACUUCUCCAAAAACUUCUGCAGGAUCCUGGUGGGAAGCUCUCUCCUCUCUCUGCGUCAGCUUCCUGGGGGACCCACCGUUCCUUCCAGCCCAGAGCGGCAUCACUGUCUACACAUCACAAGCCUGGGUUGGUGUCGAGUGUCUCUGACUUUGGAGUCUCGAGCCCCGGACUUAGUUUUAUGGGCUUUGGCUGUCGAGGGCAGCCGACGACUCCAUCCAUCAACCGGGGACUGCUCUAACACUAAUGGUGAAUUUAUAGAAGUGGUUAAACAAAGUGUUGACAAUGCGGACGGUGUGUUUCUGAUUAACACACGAUUCCGAGGGAAGCUGCCAUCCGAGGGGGGAGUCAGUAAAACACAGCAGUGAAUUCCCAGGCCCCGGAGACUCCGACUAGACUGGAUCACCAGAGGUUGCGCAAGGAGAUCAUGAGUCUGAGGCUGCUGUGGGGACUCUUGUACAAACCCAGAGCCACCCCUCCCUUCCCCCCCUUUUUUUUUCUUGAGAGAUUACAUCUGAGUUCUCUCUUCCAGCCUUAAGCGUUUCCAUUAGAAAAUUCUGUCAGCUCCCAUGGUGUUCUCUCCAAACCCUGUCCUCAGACCAACCCCUCUCCCAAGGUGACCUGAAACACGGUGGAGCACUUAGCUGCUUUCUGGGUGCUGAUGGCUUUCUUAAAUC